rnacentral:tRNA from 1 species
GACCAGGGGAGAUUCCUCCUUAAAUGAAUUUAC